rnacentral:rRNA from 1 species
CGCGGUUAUACCAAGUGAUUAAGUUAUAUUUCUAGGUAAAAAGACAGUUAGGUUUAAAAUAAUAAUUUGUUUAUUAAACAUCUAUAAAAAAGUAAAAUUUGUAUAUAGAUAGCUAAUCUAAAAGUAACUAUGUACACUGAAGCUGUGAUAAUCUUGAGGGAAACUGGGAUUAGAUACCCCAUUAUUCUUGAUUGUAAACAUAAUUAAAUUUACCAGAGUACUAUGAAUAGUUAAAAAUUUAAAACUCAAAGGGCUUGGCGGUGUUUUAGACCUAUCAGGGGAACCUGUCUCGUAAUCGACAAUCCACGCAAUAUCUAACCCUAUUUUGUAAUCAGUUUGUAUACCGUCGUCGUCAGGUAACUUUUAAAAAUACAGAAGUUAGCAAUUAAAACUUAUUAGUUAAAACGUCAGAUCAAGGUGCAGCCUAUAGUAGGGAGAGGAUGGGUUACAAUUAUAAAAAUUAUAAUCACGGAGAUUUAAAUGAAACUUAUUUUGAAGGAGGACUUGAAAGUAAACUAAAAUACAUAAAUAGUUUGAAUGAGGCUCUG